rnacentral:piRNA from 1 species
UCAAUUGGAAUGGCGUCUCUCCCUGUGGC